rnacentral:rRNA from 1 species
AUGCCAUGGGAAACCAUUUUUCCCGGGACCAUGCUCAUGGCUGCCUCCACCGCCUGCUCCGACCAUUGCCCGCUGGUGCUGUCCGAUGCGGCCGGACCCCGACGGCGCAAGUGUUUCAAGUUUGAGUCCUUCUGGCCGCGCUUCCCGCGCUUUGCGGAAACGGUGACCGCGGCCUGGGCACGACCGGUGGCUGCCUCGUGUGCGUUCACCCGCCUCCACGUCAAGCUUGCCCGUACAUCCAAGGAUCUACGCAUUUCGAGCCAGGGUCUCUUCGGUGACGCAAGGGUGCAAUUCCAUAUGGCCUGUGAGGUCAUCUUGCGCCUCGAAGAGGCCCAAGAAAAGCGCCAGCUCUCUCCGGCCGAACGCGAUCUGCGCAGGAGCCUCAAGCUCAGAUUGCUAGGGCUAGCAGCGAUUGAGAGAUGCAGGAAGAGACAUGCCUCCAGGCAAACCUGGCUGCGCUCCGGCAAUGCCCCAACAAAGUUCUUCAUGGCAAAAAUCUGCUCGCGGAAGAGAAACAACUUCAUUCACUCUCUGAAGGUCAAUGAUGCAGUAGCUACGGCACGCAACGACAAAGAAGCAGCAAUUUACAACCACUUCGACAGCAUCCUUGGGACUACAAAGCAGCGUUCAUCUACCAUUAACUGGGAACAAAUUCACAUGCCAACAAUUCAAGGUGGUGGGUUGGACAACCCUUUUUCAGAGGAAGAGGUGUGGGCGGCGAUUCAGGCAUCUCCGGCAGAGAAAUCCCCCGGACCGGACGGCUUCAAUGGUACUUUCUUCAGAUCGUGCUGGCAGAUAAUCAAAGAAGAUGUCAUGCAGGCCUUCAACCAGUUCUACAACCUGGCGGGCAACAAUUUUGGCUUGCUCAACUCGGCAAUCGUAGCCCUAAUACCCAAGAAAGACGGCGCGAACGGCAUCAACAACUAUCGUCCGAUUAGCCUGAUACACUCCAUCGCCAAGUUAGUCUCCAAGGUGCUCUCGAUCAGGCUAGCCCCGAUCGUCCAACGCAUCAUUUCGCCGGCCCAGACAGCUUUUCUGAAAACAAGAUGCUUACACGACAGCUUCGUCUACGUCCAAAAUUGUGUUAAAGCGCUGCACCGAAAAAAGACGCCGGUUGUUCUUCUCAAGCUAGACAUCUCCAGGGCCUUUGAUAACGUAUCGUGGGAGUAUCUUCUCGAGCUCAUGGUGAACCUAGGGUUUAGUGCGAGAUGGAGGGAUUGGAUCACCAUGUUGCUCGCCACCUCAUCGUCGACCUUCCUCCUCAACGGCGUCCCCGGCCAAACUAUCAUGCAUCGGUGUGGCCUACGGCAGGGCGACCCCCUGUCGCCGCUUCUGUUCAUCCUUGCGAUCGAUCCCAUCCAUCGCCUUCUUAAAGCGGCUGAAGAAGAGCUCCACAUUACGCCGGUGCCAGGCAGGGAGAUCAAAUUUAGGGUUAGCUUAUAUGCGGACGACACCAUCAUCUUUGCAAACCCAGUUAGGGAAGAGAUUGACUACCUUAUGAAUUUGCUCGAGAGCUUCGGCGACGCUACGGGCCUGAAGAUAAACAACCUCAAGUGA